CGGAAAACCGUCUCGUUGGCCGCUGCCACCGCGACGCGUUGUGUUCUUUGUGAGAAUUCGCGUCGAGCAACCGUGUGCUCCGUCCGGCGCGUCGGUUUGUCAACAGCCGGUCGGGUUUCGAGUACAAUCGUUUUCGACAUCGCAGUGAUACGGAGCGUUGGACGUAACGCGAUAAUUAACGUUCGCAGUGUUCGGAACACUCGGUGUUGCGUUGGCGGUGCGUUGUAAGGAUUUCCCGUAACUAUUUCGCAAAGGUCUCGCCGAGCAGAACGCAACGCGUGUUAGACCCGAGCGAAUGGACAGAAAAUGUU